rnacentral:rRNA from 1 species
CCCUUAGAUGUUCUGGGCCGCACGCGUGCUACACUGAGUAAUUCAAUGGGUAAGGGAACGCUAGAGCAUUACCUAAUCUUGAAAUUUGCUCGUGAUGGGGAUCGACGGUUGCAAUUUUCCGUCGUGAACGAGGAAUACCUUGUAGGCGCAUGUCAUCAUCAUGCGCCGAAUACGUCCCUGCCCUUUGUACACACCGCCCGUCGCUCCUACCGAUUGAGUGAUCCGGUGAGGCUCUGGGACCUGGACGGAAAGAGCGCUUCGCUUGUUCUGUUUGGGAAACUUGGUCGAACCUUAUCAUUUAGAGGAAGGAGAAGUCGUAACA